AGUGGCGGACGGGUGAGUAACGCGUGAGAAUCUACCUUCAGGACGGGGACAACAGCUGGAAACGGCUGCUAAUACCCGAUAUGCCGAAAGGUGAAAAGUUUUUUCGCCUGGAGAGAGCUCGCGUCCGAUUAGCUAGUUGGUGAGGUAAAAGCUUACCAAGGCGACGAUCGGUAGCUGGUCUGAGAGGAUGAGCAGCCACACUGGAACUGAGACACGGUCCAGACUCCUACGGGAGGCAGCAGUGGGGAAUUUUCCGCAAUGGGCGAAAGCCUGACGGAGCAACGCCGCGUGGGGGAAGAAGGUUUUUGGAUUGUAAACCCCUUUUCUCAAGGAAGAACAAAAUGACGGUACUUGAGGAAUCAGCCUCGGCUAACUCCGUGCCAGCAGCCGCGGUAAUACGGAGGAGGCAAGCGUUAUCCGGAAUUAUUGGGCGUAAAGCGUUCGUAGGCGGCUGUUCAAGUCUGCUGUCAAAGACCGAGGCUCAACCUCGGGUAGGCAGUGGAAACUGGAUAGCUAGAGGUCGGUAGGGGCAGAGGGAAUUCCCAGUGUAGCGGUGAAAUGCGUAGAUAUUGGGAAGAACACCGGUGGCGAAAGCGCUCUGCUGGGCCGAACCUGACGCUGAGGGACGAAAGCUAGGGGAGCGAAUGGGAUUAGAUACCCC
rnacentral:rRNA from 1 species